rnacentral:lncRNA from 1 species
AGGGCAUCCCACCGGAUCAGCAGCGGCUCAUCUUCGCCGGGAAGCAGCUGGAGGACGGUCGCACGCUCGCCGAUUACAAUAUCCAGAAAGAGUCGACCCUUCAUCUCGUGCUGCGCUUGAGGGGAGGUAUGCAGAUCUUCGUGAAGACCCUGACCGGGAAGACGAUCACGCUGGAGGUGGAGAGCUCGGACACGAUCGACAACGUGAAGGCGAAAAUUCAGGACAAGGAGGGGAUUCCACCGGAUCAGCAGCGCCUCAUCUUCGCCGGGAAGCAGCUGGAGGACGGUCGCACCCUCGCCGAUUACAAUAUCCAGAAGGAGUCGACCCUGCACCUCGUCCUCCGCCUCCGCGGUGGCUAUUUCUGAAGAGACGGGCAUCUGGAAGUCCUCGCAGUCGGCAUGUGAUUUCGUCUGGUUUCAUGGUGCUUGAAAGUGGCCAUUUUUCAGUAGUAUAUGUUCGUUCUGGUGUAGCUUCUCUCUUAUGUGAACCAUGAAUGAAUGAACCUUAAUAAUAAGUAAUACAACUUUAUUUUCUCCCGCUCGUGCCUCUUGCAUGUGGACCACAUGACUUGAUGAUUGGUUUUUUCCG